rnacentral:rRNA from 1 species
GACGAACGCUGGCGGCGGGCUUAACACAUGCAAGUCGAACGGAAAGGCCCUGCUUUCGUGGGGUGCUCGAGGGGCGAACGGGUGAGUAACACGUGAGUAACCUGCCCUUGACUUUGGGAUAACUUCAGGAAACUGGGGCUAAUACCGGAUAGGAGCUCCUGCUGCAGGGUGGGGGUUGGAAAGUUUCGGCGGGUGGGGAUGGACUCGCGGCUUAUCAGCUUGUUGGUGGGGUAGUUGCUUACCAAGGCUUUGACGUGUAGCCGGCCGGAGAGGGUGACCGGCCACAUUGGGACUGAGAUACGGCCCAGACUCCUACGGGAGGCAGCAGUGGGGAAUAUUGCACAAUGGGCGGAAGCCUGAUGCAGCAACGCCGCGUGCGGGAUGACGGCCUUCGGGUUGUAAACCGCUUUCGCCUGUGACGAAGCGUGAGUGACGGUAAUGGGUAAAGAAGCACCGGCUAACUACGUG